GGGGGUUUAGCUUAGCUGGUUAAAGCAGCCGGCUCAUAACCGGCGGAUCGGGGGUUCGAGUCCCUCAGCCCCUACCA
rnacentral:tRNA from 1 species